UGGGGAAUAUUGCACAAUGGGCGCAAGCCUGAUGCAGCGACGCCGCGUGAGGGAUGACGGCCUUCGGGUUGUAAACCUCUGUUAGCAGGGAAGAAGAGAGAUUGACGGUACCUGCAGAGAAAGCGCCGGCUAACUACGUGCCAGCAGCCGCGGUAAUACGUAGGGCGCGAGCGUUGUCCGGAAUUAUUGGGCGUAAAGAGCUUGUAGGCGGUUUGUCGCGUCUGCUGUGAAAGGCCGGGGCUUAACUCCGUGUAUUGCAGUGGGUACGGGCAGACUAGAGUGCAGUAGGGGAGACUGGAAUUCCUGGUGUAGCGGUGGAAUGCGCAGAUAUCAGGAGGAACACCGAUGGCGAAGGCAGGUCUCUGGGCUGUAACUGACGCUGAGAAGCGAAAGCAUGGGGAGCGAACAGGAUUAGAUACCCCGGUAGUCCAUGCCGUAAACGUUGGGCACUAGGUGUGGGGGACAUUCCACGUUUUCCGCGCCGUAGCUAACGCAUUAAGUGNCCCGCCUGGGGAGUACGGCCGCAAGGUU
rnacentral:rRNA from 1 species